UGGAAAAAUAGUAGUUAAAUCUCUGUAUUCAAGUUAGGCAUAUUGGUAAUGGCAAUUACCAUCCUUUCCCCCAAAUGUAAAUAUUAAGUCACCUCAUUUUUCUCCUAAAAAAAGAUACCAUUUUGAGGCAUAUAUUUUUCAUUGGGUGGUCACCUGUUUUCAUUGAUAGAUGGAUAGACAAAAGAAAAAGUGAGAGGGGAGAGAAGGAAAGACAGGGAAAAGAAGAAAACAGGAUAGGAAAGAAACAAGAACAUUCUUUUCUGUUGCCUCUUGGCUUUAUCCUUCCUUACACAGCUAAAGUCAGAGAUGGUGAGAUAGGCGAGGGCAGGAAUCAGGUCAAGUCUCUUUUCAUUAAUAGGAUGCCAGGAAAUGGACCAGUACUGUAUUUAUCAAAGAGGAGACCUUUUGACCUUUAUUCUGAGUACCAGUUAACAGUGAUUGUUCAUUGAGUGAUACAUUGUAGCUUCAGAACAUUACUUCCAUACUCAAGUAAUGCAAUAGUUUUUAUGCUUAAUCUCACAUUUAUUCAUGAAAUAUGUAUUUUUUGAAUACCUACUAUGGAUCAGGGGCUGUGCUGACACUAUUUUAACAUGUUUUAAUAUGGAGAGGCCUAUAUAUGUUUUAGACAUUAUUCCAGAAGUAAAAUGCAAAGAAGAAAGUUUAUUUUCAUUUCAUGGUAAAAAAAAAAAAAAAAAAGCAGAAUCUGAAGUCUAUUUUUUUUUAAUGGCCUAGAGUUUAUGAAUAUUUUUCAGGGUCUGCUGGUAAUGGAAUAAAUUUGAUUUUGAUAUCUAAGAAUUUCCUAAAGAUUUGUAAUAGGGAAGGUAUGUCAAGUGACACAUGGGCCUACAUUUAAAUUUUUGCUUUUAUUCUGAACAUUUUGAAAGUACAUAUGCAGGGGUAUAAAAUUGUGGAGCUUCUAUAAUGAUAGUUUCUAGAUAACCUCAGGAAACCAUACAAAUAAGUGAGAAAUGUUUACAGGUUCUUGAAACAACUACAGUAGUGCUUGGCCAAUCAGAAGUUUCACUAACUGUAUAUAGAAACUAUUUUACAGGGUAUGUCUAGUCCCAGUUUCCUCUAGUUUUUCCUAUUUAAGAUGAUGAAAUUUUGAUUGUGUCAAUUAUGUGAAUAUUUUUUGGCAUAGCCAAAUAUGUCUGUAUUUAAGAUUCUGUUAUUUAAUGUUCUUAAAACAGAUGUGAAAACCACCUUUUUGGGUGGCAAGGAGACUGGUAGUUGGUGUCAGUUCCAUGAGUUGAUUCCUGUUUUCUUAUUUUAAAUGCUCCAACAGCUAUUUUACUAUAUAUAAUAGCUCCUAGUUCGCAUGUACGGUGCGUUUAGUCAGUGAUUUUACACAAUAGCUGAAUAAAAUUUCCUGAAGAUUAAGCUGUGAAAUGUAUCACUUUCAUCCAAUUUUUAUAGUACAAAAUAACAUUCUACUUUUCCUAAAAUCAUAUUCAUAAUCUGCAUGUUACCUGAUCAAAUAAACUUAAACCAAAUAUGUUAUGUGCAAUAAAAUUAUAUAAUGCAUUUAGAAAGAUGAUUUUUAGAUAUAUAAAAUGUUUUGGUUCAUGUAGAAGUCAUCAAUUCAAAUGUUUAAAAGAUAAAUGACUAUAUUUUAAAUUUUGAGUAAUGCUGGUUAUAUAGCAUUCCUACUAUUUUAUCUUUACUUUUUUGCAGUGUUUUUAGAA
rnacentral:lncRNA from 1 species